rnacentral:tRNA from 1 species
GGGAAAGUAGCUCAGCGGUAGAGUGCAUGCCUUGCAAGCAUGAGGCCCUGGGUUCAAUUCCUCAGCACCA